UUGUGGUUAAAAAGCUCGUAGUUGGAUCUCGGCGGACUGAGGGCGGUUUGCUUGCUAGUAUUACUGCCCUAUAGUCCGUAGUUUUGCCAGAGGUUUCGGGGUGCUCUUAAUCGAGUGUCCCGGGAUGCUGGCAGGUUUACUUUGAAAAAAUUAGAGUGCUCAAAACAGGCUAUUACGCCUGAAUAUUCGAGCAUGGAAUAAUAGAAUAGGAAGUCGUUUCUAUUUUGUUGGUUUUCGGAAAUCGACUUAAUGAUUAAUAGGGACAGUCGGGGGCAUUUGUAUUCAAACGACAGAGGUGAAAUUCUUGGACCGUUUGAAGACAAACUACUGCGAAAGCAUUUGCCAAGAAUGUUUUCAUUAAUCAAGAACGAAAGUUAAAGGUUCGAAGGCGAUUAGAUACCGCCCUAGUUUUAACCAUAAACGAUGCCAGCUAGCGAUCUGCGGACGUUUUUUUUGUAGACUCCGCAGGAAGCUACCGGGAAACCAAAGCAUUUGGGUUCCAGGGGAAGUAUGGUUGCAAAGCUGAAACUUAAAGGAAUUGACGGAAGGGCACCACCAGGAGUGGAGCCUGUGGCU
rnacentral:rRNA from 1 species